rnacentral:lncRNA from 1 species
CGAUUAUACAAUGAUUUUGUCAUAAAUAUCAAUUAUAUGAACAUACAGUUAACCAUUUCUUUACAAUAAACACUUUCUUUAAGGAAAAUCAAAGGAAUUAUUGGACUUGCUUUUAAACAUUUUUUUUAAAUGUAACAUGAGUUUUGGUAACAGGACUGGGAAAAAUGGAGCCAUCAGAUUAGAAACCCAUAAAAAAAAAAAAAAUUAAGUACAGCUGCCUGAGAUUGACUAGUACAUGUUAAAUAUGUGUUAUUGGAUUCAGAGUUGCAAAACUAUAAUAAUUAAGUUUAAUUUGGAAAAGUUAGAACAAUCAAAUGGCCCCAUUCAAUGGAAUGGCCCUUAUAUUGUUGGUCAUGUGAUUCAAGCUUGGUCACGUGAUUCUACUGUACUCCGAUUGGAACGUGGAAUGUUGGUGAGGUCGCUGAUGAUGUCAUCACAGCUAUAUAUACUCAUUCUUCUGGAGAGCAGCAGAGAAACGGAGGGAGAUUUGAAGAGAGAGGACAUGUUUGACCUGGAUAAAAUGGACUUUUCUGCUCUAAUGGCGAAACCAAAAGGAACAAAGGUGUUUGUGCCUGAUAAAUGUAAGGUGCAGUUCUUCCGGGGCAAACUGGGACAGAGUCUUUCUUCUGAUAGACAGGAUUGUGAUUACGGAGACCCUAAAAUGUCCCAGAAACUCGGGGAUUACAACUGCCUGCACGAUAAACAGCUGAAGAAGUUCUUCAGACAUCCGGAGAAAAAGAAGAGGCUCCUAAAACUUGGCCUAAUUUCUCCGCAUGGAAAAGUCCAGUGCUCCGUAAAGGAAUUUAACGACUAUGUUGAGCACCUGAAAAGCACCCCACUGAAACAGGAUACAUCAGAAUUCAAGCAGCCCAGCUUACAAAUGACCUGCCAGUUCAAGGGCUCCAGCCGCCCGGAGAAGAAGAUAAAGAAAGAGACUGAGGAGCUGAGGCUGAUAGACCUGGAGGAGGAGGUUCAUGUUUCAGUUGAGGACCUAAAACAAACUCCUAGAAAAGAAAAGGUGGAGGAUACAUCAGAAUUCAAGCAGCCCAGCGUACAAAUGACCUGCCAGAGCAAGGGCUCCAGCCGUCCGGAGAAGAAGGAGCGGCGCAUGAAACAAAAACUAACCAAUCCGGAUGUUAAGGAUGAACGCACAUUACUCGCACAUUCCUACACAUUAGAGCGUGAUGAUGAUGAUCAGGUUUUUGAUUUCAAGACUGAGAAAGAGCCUGAGGAGCUGCGGCUGAUAGACCUCGAGGAGGAGGAGCAGGAGGAGGAGGAGGAGAGCUUCCAAACCGAGGUGGCUGAUGUUUUAGUGGAGGACAUAGACCAAACUCCUAGAGAAGAAACGGUGGAGAUGACAACAUCAAAGCCAAUCCUCUCACCUGAAACUGAGAAGAAGCUGAAGAAAAAGAAAUCUUCCAGUUUGACUUGGGUAAAUGUCCAAGAGUCAUCCAGCACCCAGGAGAAUAUGGAGGAAGCUUCUAAAGAGGGUGACAGCCGUGGCUCCAUCUGGUCCAUCUUCAAGAGAGUCUGGAAGGCAGUAAAGCGCCCCAAAUCAGCUCCUCCUGCCAUCUAAUUUUCCCCAUUUUUUCCCACCCCCACUUUCACUUCUUUUUUAUAUUAAUCAUAAGAUUUGGUCAAUGCAAUCCAUAUUAAUCUAUUGUAUUGUAUCAAAUUGUCCGCCAUAUUGUCAAAUUCGCAAGCGUCUGAAGUCUGGAAUUUAGCUCCAUAGUCGUUAUGUCAAUCCAGACCCAGUGUAGGCUUAUUUAAAAUCAAAACUACAUUUAGAAACUACAUUGCUCUCAGGCUCUCAGAGCUAUAUGAGCUGAGCUCCAUCCUUAUAGAUGUUGAGCUCUUUUAGUAUUAGUUAGUUUUAUACAUAUCUAAAAUGAGUCCACACUUGAACAAUUGUUGCAUCAUUUUAAUUCGCCUAAUAUAUUUAAUAUCAUGUAGGUAGUUGCUCGUUGACUGCUCAGUAUUUACUGAUGAUCUGCUCCAUCUUUAUAGAUGUUGAGCUUUUUGUAUAUCAGGUUAUUGUGCAGCACACUGAGAUAUCAGAAGAUAUCCCACUUCUCCCCUCAAUUCGGUUGUUAUGAUUAUAGCACAUAUUAAUAGCGGCCCCCUUGAUGCCCGCAAAUCUACAUCUACAAUUAAAGAUUGCAGUGACGCUGCAGCAAAAGUAAGACUGAGAGUGCAUCCUGAUUGGUCCCUGCUUGGGCUUGGAUCUGUCAGUGAGCACAUGUGGGAGCGAUUUAGGCUCCACAGCUCUCUUUCUAGGCUAGAAUAUUCUAGUUUAGUUUCGUUUCUGCAGUAUAAAGGUAAUAAGAUAAUUUUAUAUUGUAUAGGUAUUGUAGAUGAUUUGCAGACAUCAGGGAGCACAUAUAUAUAUAAAACUGUUUAUGUGGUCUUAAAGUCACGUCAUAUCAUGUAUUAGUCAUAUGUGGUUUAGACCAGAGGAGGAUGG